AACGAACGCUGGCGGCAGGCUUAACACAUGCAAGUCGAGCGCGUAGCAAUACGAGCGGCAGACGGGUGAGUAACGCGUGGGAAUCUACCGAGCCCUAAGGAAUAGCUCCGGGAAACUGGAAUUAAUACCUUAUACGCCCUUUUGGGGAAAGAUUUAUCGGGGUUUGAUGAGCCCGCGUUGGAUUAGCUAGUUGGUGGGGUAAAGGCCUACCAAGGCGACGAUCCAUAGCUGGUCUGAGAGGAUGAUCAGCCACAUUGGGACUGAGACACGGCCCAAACUCCUACGGGAGGCAGCAGUGGGGAAUAUUGGACAAUGGGCGCAAGCCUGAUCCAGCCAUGCCGCGUGAGUGAUGAAGGCCCUAGGGUUGUAAAGCUCUUUCACCGGUGAAGAUAAUGACGGUAACCGGAGAAGAAGCCCCGGCUAACUUCGUGCCAGCCGCCGCCGUAAAAC
rnacentral:rRNA from 1 species